CAUAUAUAUAUAGAUAUGUAUAUAUAUAUUGUACCGUUUCACCAAAGUGCCGUUCGUUUUGUCUCGAAGGACCAUAUAUAAAAACCACAACCUCACUUUUUCCUAGGCACCUCCAAUUUCUUAGAAACAAAAUGAAAAAAAUGGAAUCUACACUAGUGCACGCAUAUGCACAAGGAAAUAAUUAUAUUGCGUUUGUAUUUAUCUUAGGUACAAUUUUAAACACUUUACAAAAUGAGUGUCGGCUGAGGAUUCCGACUUAGGAUGAAAACGCCGUUUAAAGAUGUUCACACACGCGUAACUCCGACUGGAUAUAGAUUUAUAAAUGUUGGAAAACUGAGGUUUGGCACACACGCCGUUUAAAGAUGUUCGCACCCGCGGAACUCCGAUUGGAUAUAUAUUUAUAAAUGUUGGAAAACUGAGGUUUGGCACACACGCCGUUUAAAGAUGUUCACACACGCGUAACUCCGACUCACUCGAU